GAGCAAAGGCGUCGGUUCUUACGAAAACGAUGGCGCGAGUUGCAUUGAAGGUUGGCGAUAUCAUCCGCGAUUCUCCGUGCCUGUCAAAUCUAUUUCCGGUUUUGAUCAUGGCCUCGAACAAGUCGCGACAUU